AUGAUUGAUUUGUAGCUUCCAGCUCUCGCAUACUUUUUAGUAUGUAGGAUCGAACAUGUUCAUUUUGCUUGGAAUUAUAGGGAUGAGGCAAACUUGAUAUAUACUCUAGGUCAUUCCAAGCUCGUUGAAACUCCAAAUCUUUUAGCAAAUUAGGUCCUGGAACUUGGGCAAUCCGUUUCCAAUCUAAUAGAUAUAAGAUAAGCAGUACAGUGAAUCCAAAAAUCGAGCAGGUUAAACUGGACUGAAAAGCCUUAGCACAUAUGCGUUC